GUAAACGAUGUCGACUUGGAGGUUGUGCCCUUGAGGCGUGGCUUCCGGAGCUAACGCGUUAAGUCGACCGCCUGGGGAGUACGGCCGCAAGGUUAAAACUCAAAUGAAUUGACGGGGGCCCGCACAAGCGGUGGAGCAUGUGGUUUAAUUCGAUGCAACGCGAAGAACCUUACCUGGCCUUGACAUCCAGAGAACUUAGCAGAGAUGCUUUGGUGCCUUCGGGAACUCUGAGACAGGUGCUGCAUGGCUGUCGUCAGCUCGUGUUGUGAAAUGUUGGGUUAAGUCCCGCAACGAGCGCAACCCUUAUCCUUUGUUGCCAGCGGCUCGGCCGGGAACUCAAAGGAGACUGCCGGUGAUAAACCGGAGGAAGGUGGGGAUGACGUCAAGUCAUCAUGGCCCUUACGGCCAGGGCUACACACGUGCUACAAUGGCGCAUACAAAGAGAAGCGACCUCGCGAGAGCAAGCGGACCUCAUAAAGUGCGUCGUAGUCCGGAUUGGAGUCUGCAACUCGACUCCAUGAAGUCGGAAUCGCUAGUAAUCGUAGAUCAGAAUGCUACGGUGAAUACGUUCCCGGGCCUUGUACACACCGCCCGUCACACCAUGGGAGUGGGU
rnacentral:rRNA from 1 species